GUUAGUUGUGGGCGGGGCCCCAAACGACAGCUUGGUCCACUAAUCGCAAAAGCAAUUAAUUUUAUUUUCUUAAACAAACAAAGAAAAAUAUAUAGAAAAUUGGUAAAUAUAUAACAUACAAAUAUGAAUUGAUUAAAAAUUAAGUUUGUUUUAUUCUUAAUAACUUCGCUGGCACAUGGCAUUAAAUUUCACGCGGGAAGUGGCCUAUUUGAGGCCUACUCGAUUAUUUAGUUAGCAUUUAGGCACAAAGACACAAAUUUAUAUCAUAGUCGGAUAAAUGUUGAAGUAAGAAGAUGAAAUUACCAAAAAAUGACGCUUUCUUCAGUUUCACUGUGGAAAGACCGCGAAGUGAAGUAUACACGCCGUGGUUUCUGUGGAUGGCCCGCGUGUCUUCAGCAGCGGCAGAAUCCUCUGAGGAACUGGCCUGACUCAUCUGCAUCUGUGACAGGUCAUGUCCAUGAGCUGGAGUGGAUAACCCAAAGCGCCCAAACCGGCCCACUAACACUCAAAUCCAUGUUUAAAGAUGCUGUCAGGAAAGGAAAUGCAUGGAAAAGUUGCUACCAGACUGCUGUCUGA
rnacentral:lncRNA from 1 species